rnacentral:lncRNA from 1 species
AGGGAACAAAACCCACAAAUGUAAGAGAUUUCCAUAUUAAUACAUGUAUCUUGUUUUCUCCAGUUCCCACCAGAUCUUCUGCCUUUUCCAAGAAGCAGAUGUCAAAACAGCAAAAAGUAGUUAAGGAUUUGGGACUGUUCUCCAAGCACAGCCUUGCCCUAUUUAUGUUAAGUUGUCCCUAUUUCUGAAGACAAGCAGAAGCUCCCCAUUAACAGUUGACUGAGCAAAGCCAAGACACUACCUUGUCACAGGACUUUAUCUUCCUUGGGGCAGCCUGCUGCUUUGGUUUCCUACAGAGAAAGAAGCGUUGAACCUGCAGUGAUGAAAAGAUGAUUAAUGAAUCUCAGAACUGCAUAGAACAUGCAGUUUACUUGUGAGAAGUGCCCAGUGAAAUGCUCCAUGAAGGCAGAUCUUCCCUGCAGCAAGGAUCUUUAUAUUCAUUUUACAAUGUCCAAGCAUAAGUGGGAAGAGGGUGAAUGCAGUGGACCAGCUAAGAAGAGCUGCUCGAGAUUCAGAGAAGACUGGUUGAAGGAGAUGUUUGAAAUCAACAUACCACAUGCAUCUGGUUGGCAGCGCAUAAGUCUUGGAGAUGUUUUCCAGUAUCGUGAAAGCGGGGAUGUCCUGUGUACCAUCUGCAUGCGUGCAGGAGCCAACAGCAAGUGGACGACCAGAAAAAAAUUGGAAUAGAUGCUCCAUCAUCAGUACUUCCUUUCACCAGUCAGUAUUGGAGGCCUUCACAUCCUUUUGGAACAUUCUGACUACCUAACCUGGACACCUGUGCACUAUCAUCCCCAGGUACCUUGUAGGGCUGUAUGGAAUGCCUGCUUUUCACUUUGAUUUCAGAUCUGGCAUUUUGGAGGGAGAAUGAUUCAUUUUGGUGUUUUAAACCACUGUUCCAUUUCAUUUUUGGCCCCUAUAGGUUUUGUUUUGGAGCUGUUUCGGAAUUCCAAUGGUGUUUCGGCCAUAGGCUAUAAUGGGGAAUCACAAAACUGCCUAUAACUUAGUAAUUUAUUGCUUUAUUCAGAUGAGACUUGCAGAGAUGGUAGCCCCUGCUGAGGCCAUGAAUUCUGCCAAGUUUCAAGGAGAUAUGUGUAG